UACGGGGGGGGCAAGCGUUAAUCGGAAUUACUGGGCGUAAAGCGUGCGCAGGCGGCUUCGCAAGUCAGACGUGAAAUCCCCGGGCUUAACCUGGGAAUGGCGUUUGAAACUACGGAGCUGGAGUGUGGCAGAGGGAGGUAGAAUUCCACGUGUAGCGGUGAAAUGCGUAGAUAUGUGGAGGAAUACCGAUGGCGAAGGCAGCCUCCUGGGCCAACACUGACGCUCAUGCACGAAAGCGUGGGGAGCAAACAGG
rnacentral:rRNA from 1 species